UGGAUAGAUUAUUGUAUUCGACUGUAUUCACGGCGUGAAAUAGGGGAUUACACUGUUUUUAAACGGAAAGUGAAUCAAUUAACAUAAUAGACUCUU
rnacentral:pre_miRNA from 1 species